rnacentral:rRNA from 1 species
UACGUAGGGGGCUAGCGUUGUCCGGAAUCAUUGGGCGUAAAGAGCGUGUAGGCGGCCCGGUAAGUCCGCUGUAAAAGUCAAAGGCUCAACCUUUGAAUGUCAGUGGAUACUGCCGGGCUAGAGUCCGGAAGAGGCGAGUGGAACUCCUGGUGUAGCGGUGGAAUGCGCAGAUAUCAGGAGGAACACCGGUGGCGAAGGCGGGUCUCUGGGCCGAUACUGACGCUGAGGUGCGAAAGCGUGGGGAGCAAACAGG